AUUUAUGAAUAAUAAAUGACCGUGCAUUCAGCAGGAGCCGUUAAUUUGCAUAUCACCGCAGCUAGUUUUAUUUCCUUAGUGCCGUGUUAUCAUGAAGCCCUUCAAGCCGGCAUAAACCAGAACCAAAGAAAUAAUGCUUUAACAGCACCACGCUGCAAUUGAAUUUGGCAUUGAUGUCACCUCUGAUGUCCAUGGCUGCAGCAGAACACAGCAGACAGCUGAGUGUGCAGUAGCAGAUUCUGGAGCUGCAGUGUGCUCGUGCACCAACAGGAGCUGGAGGCGAAGUGUCUAUGCAGAGGCCUGCUUCCCUCGGGACUCUUCCAAAUGACUCCGGUGACCCUGCGGCCCUC